UGGCGCCUGCGACGCGGUGUCGUAGGCGCCUUGCGACGCGCCGUAGGUGUAGGGCGGGUUCGAUUCCGGCGGCGGCGA
rnacentral:tRNA from 1 species